rnacentral:tRNA from 1 species
GCAGGCGUGGCGGAAUGGCAGACGCAAGGGACUUAAAAUCCCUUGGGCUUAGGCCCGUGAGGGUUCGACCCCCUCCGCCUGCACCA